rnacentral:rRNA from 1 species
UGGGGAAUCUUAGACAAUGGGGGAAACCCUGAUCUAGCCAUGCCGCGUGAGCGAUGAAGGCCUUAGGGUUGUAAAGCUCUUUCAGCUGGGAAGAUAAUGACGGUACCAGCAGAAGAAGCCCCGGCUAACUCCGUGCCAGCAGCCGCGGUAAUACGGAGGGGGCUAGCGUUGUUCGGAAUUACUGGGCGUAAAGCGCACGUAGGCGGAUUAGUCAGUCAGAGGUGAAAUCCCAGGGCUCAACCCUGGAACUGCCUUUGAUACUGCUAGUCUUGAGGUCGAGAGAGGUGAGUGGAAUUCCGAGUGUAGAGGUGAAAUUCGUAGAUAUUCGGAGGAACACCAGUGGCGAAGGCGGCUCACUGGCUCGAUACUGACGCUGAGGUGCGAAAGCGUGGGGAGCAAAACAGGAUUAGAUACCCUGGUAGUCCACGCCGUAAACGAUGAAUGCCAGUCGUCGGGUUGCAUGCAAUUCGGUGACACACCUAACGGAUUAAAGCAUUCCGCCUGGGGAGUACGGUCGCAAGAUUAAAACUCAAAUGAAUUGAC